rnacentral:rRNA from 1 species
UACGUAGGGAGCGAGCGUUGUCCGGAAUUACUGGGUGUAAAGGGAGCGUAGGCGGGAUGGCAAGUUGGGUGUGAAAACUAUCGGCUCAACCGGCAGUGGCACUCAAAACUGCCGUUCUUGAGUGAAGUAGAGGCAGGCGGAAUUCCUAGUGUAGCGGUGAAAUGCGUAGAUAUUAGGAGGAACACCAGUGGCGAAGGCGGCCUGCUGGGCUUUUACUGACGCUGAGGCUCGAAAGUGUGGGGAGCAAA